rnacentral:rRNA from 1 species
GACGGAGGGUGCAAGCGUUGUUCGGAAUUACUGGGCGUAAAGGGCGCGUAGGCGGUCUGCUAAGUUCGGUGUGAAAUCCCCCUGGCUCAACUGGGGAACUGCGCCGGAAACUGGCAGACUAGAGUACCGGAGAGGAGGGUGGAAUUCCUGGUGUAGCGGUGAAAUGCGUAGAUAUCAGGAGGAACACCUGUGGCGAAGGCGGCCGACCUGGGCCGACCCUGACGCUGAGGCGCGAAGGCGUGGGGAGCGAACGGG